UCCUUGGAAUGUACAUAGUUUUUAAAUACCACAUUUCACUUGCACGUUUAAAAUGUUUACGGUAGUAUAAAAGACAAAACUGUCUCUAACACUUCACAGAACUAUACAAAAUGAAGUUGAUUCUAUUUUUCUUUAUCGUAUCAAUUUCCGCUGUUAUUAGCGAGGAAGAUUUGAAAGCACCUAACGUUAUGUGUAUAAUAACAUCUAUUGUUAAUUUCGCAAAAUGUCUGAAACAAGAUAGCCGGUUCCUUCUAAAUUCGAGCGAAAGUAUGGAGUUGGGUCCGAGUCCGGUUCCAGAAUGUAUUUCAAAGUUCGUAGAAGAACUGAUGAAAUGUGUGUAAUUCGAUUUACUUGGCGUUCGCAUUAUAUCCUGCACUUUGAACUUUGAAAAUAAAUAUCUAAUUGAGCAAG